UACGGGGGGGGCAAGCGUUGUUCGGAAUUACUGGGCGUAAAGGGCGCGUAGGCGGCCAACUAAGUCAGACGUGAAAUCCCUCGGCUUAACCGGGGAACUGCGUCUGAUACUGGAUGGCUUGAGUUUGGGAGAGGGAUGCGGAAUUCCAGGUGUAGCGGUGAAAUGCGUAGAUAUCGAGAGGAACACCAGUGGCGAAGGCGAGUCUCUGGACAUUUCCUGACGCUGAGGCACGAAAGCCAGGGGAGCAAACGGG
rnacentral:rRNA from 1 species